GUAAGGGCGUGCGGCGCGCGUCACAUGAUCGCUCGGUGUCACGUGCCGGGGCGGAAGAGUCUCCGCUCCCUCAGAGCCGCGCUGCCUGGUGACUGUUCUCGGCGCGCCAGGCCAAGGGGAGCCUCCCCGGGGGAGCCGGAGCCCCCGUCUUGGGCAGCAUGGCUCGCCUCAGGCGUUGGGCCUGGAAGUCUUUCCGCGUGGCCCCCUUUGGAAGGGGCAACGGGGAGCAGCAGGGGCUUCGCUGGCUCUGCCUCUGAGGCACCCAGGCCGCUGUCACCCCCCUCGCCCCAAAGCUUCAGUGCAAUCGAUCUGCUUUAGUUAAUCAAAAUAAUGUCUCGCAGAAGAUCAAACUUAGGUCGCCGUACUCGCAAAGCGCAAGCAACGCGACGAGUAAUUGCAAAACGAACUAAGGAAGAACGGGCAUCAGUGAACGAGCAAAAGAGACAAAGAAUGGCUCAAAUACGUGCUGAGGAAACACCAGAGCGACACGCAGCCAGACUUGAGGAUGCACGGUUGCGAGCACGGCAAGUGCGUUCUGCAGCUUCAGAUCGCCUUCGUUAUCAGCAGAAUGAACGCGACAGACUGAGAGUGGUUGAAAGACGUCAACGAGAAACAGCAGAUCAGCAUCAAACACGACUCCGUGCUCACCAAUCACGGGAUUACAAUUGCCUUGCAUUCCAGUACAACCCAGCUGAUGAUUAUAGUUUAAGCCAGCAUGUUCUCAUCAGCACUAUGGGUGAAGUGUGUACUCAUUGCAAGGGUCUGAAAUUGAAUGAAGAAAUGAAAGCAAUGCUUUACGCCGCUGGAAAAAUUAAACUGCCUCAACUUGGAGAACCACCAGAGCCAUCUGGGAACGGAAGCAGGGAGCCGGCUUUAUGAUAAAUUUGUCCUUUCACUUUGAAAGUUGGCAUGAAUUGAGCUGUUACGAUUUCUGCGCCGAAUGACGUCAUUUGGAAGCAUUAGUUGUAUUUCCUGAUGUUAGAUAGGAAAUGCUUUGAUUCGGCGGUAUAUCUGGCAAGCAAAACAACAAAAAAUUUUGUAUACCCACAAGCAUUGUGAAAUUAAACAUGUUAGAAACUUACGCUUUCUCUUUUCUUUUCCAUUUUACAGACUGAGCCACAGCAACGCGUGGCUGGAUACAGCUAGUUUCUUAAUUAAAAAUGCCUUGUCUUGCACACAGAAAAGUACAGUAAUUUGGGAUUAAAGGCAGCGAAAACAGCGACACCUUGCAGGACUUCCUGGCUGUGCUGCUUCCUCCCCUCCCUCACCCUCAAGCUGCGGACCCUUUUUUCGAAACUGCAGAAAGGCCAGAAGCUCACCAAACCUGUUAGGUCUGGAGUGUUCAGUUUGGGUCUCUGCUGCCCCCCCCCAUUUCUGCCAGGGUCUCUGUUUUAGACCCACCACUUCCCUGUCUUGUGAGUGCUCCAGAGGAUUGUCAUGUUGAGCUGGAAAUGUUGUGUGUCUUGAGUAGUUUGGUCACCUAAGGGUUACUUAAUGCACUUCUUCAGGAUUGGGUGGCUGGCAGGGAGAUAUUGCAUGACACCCCCUUGGGUGCUUUCUCAGAGAAGUGAGAAGAGGGUCCCUCCAGAAAAUGCCUGCAGAAGAGCUGGAGUGUUUAUAACUAACUUGCUUCCAUAAAAUGGGAGAGAUGCUGUCAGAAAGUGACACAAUAUUUGGACCUUAUAGUCUUCUGCAUAGUGCACAGAGGUUCCGUGUCUCAAAAAAGGUGGAUGGAACAAUUGCAGCCACAUCCAGGAGAGGCUCUUGGUGGCUUGGCAUGGCCAGAGGUAUAACAUUAUUUUGGGAAGGGGGAUUCUGUUUAUCUACUGUGUGACCUGAGAAUGAAAACCAACAGUCUCAAAAUGCAGACAUUUGUGCACAGUUCCUUUGGGUACAGGUAGGUAGCCGUGUUGGUCUGCCGUAGUCAAAACGAAAUAAAAAAAAUCAUUCCAGUAGCACCUUAGAGACCAACUAAGUUAGAUAUCUGAAGAAGUGUGCAUGCACAUGAAAGCUCAUACCAAUAACAAACUUAGUUGGUCUCUAAGGUGCUACUGGAAGGAAUUUUUUUAUUUAGUUCCUUUGGGGUUCAGCUGAAGUCUUGCUCUGAAAACUCAAAAGUGCUAGGACUCAGAGUUAUACCAAAUGCUAUUGCUCAGAGGAGGCCCGUGGCUUCUAGCAACUGUUGUUCGGAAGCCUUGCUGCCUCCAGCUGUGGAGGCAGAGCAGAGCCAUCCUGGCCAGUGGCCAUCAAUAACCCUCUCUUCCUCCGUGAAUUUGUCUAAUCCACUUUUAAAGCCAUUUAAGUUGGUGGCCAUUACUUCCUCCUGUGGAAUUGAGUUCCAUAGUUUUGAUUUCUGCGCUGUGCAUUGUAGUCUCUCCUUGUGUUGUUGUUUAGUUGUUGGGAUUGGGAUGUAGACUGAUCUCCAAUCCUCUGGCCAUUGCUGAGUUUUCCAAACUUGCUGGCAUAUUGGGUGUAGCACCUUAACAAAAUCAUCUUUUAAAAUUGGAGAAGAUCAGCAUCUUAAAAAGCAGAGACAUCACCUUGCCGACAAAGGUCCGUAUAGUUAAAGCUAUGGUUUUCCCAGUAGUGAUGUAUGGAAGUGACAGCUGGACCAUAAAGAAGGCUGAUUACCGAAGGAUUGAUGCUCUUGAAUUCUGGUGCUGGAGGAGACUCUUGAGAGUCCCAUGGACUGCAAGAAGAUCAAACCUAUCCAUUCUGAAGGAAAUCAGCCCUGAGUGCUCACUGGAAGGACAGAUCCUGAAGCUGAGGCUCCAAGACUUUGGCCACCUCAUGAGAAGAGAAGACUCCCUGGAAAAGACCCUGAUGUUGGGAAAGAUUGAGGGCACUAGGAGAAGGGGACGACAGAGGACAAGAUGGUUGGACAGUGUUCUCGAAGCUACGAACAUGAGUUUGACCAAACUGCGGGAGGCAGUGGAAGACAGGAAUGCCUGGCGUGCUCUGGUCCAUGGGGUCAUGAAGAGUCGGACACAACUAAACGACUAAACAACAGCAAAGGGCAUGAAGUACAACUUACAAAAUCAACAAAAGAUCCAUAAAAACAUUUUAAAAUAUCAAUAAUUGCUGGCUAGUUCUGGUUACAGGUAGGUAGCCGUGUUGGUCUGGGUCGAAGUAAAAUAAAAAAAUUCCUUCAGUAGCACCUUAAAGACCAACUAAGUUUUUAUUUUGGUAUGAGCUUUCAUGUGCAUGCACACGAAAGCUCAUACCAAAAUAAAAACUUAGUUGGUCUUUAAGGUGCUACUGAAGGAAUUUUUUUAUUUUGCUGGCUAGUUAAAAGUCCUGUUGUGAAGGCCUAUGUGAACAAAGAAGUUUUCAAAUGACAUCUGAAGGAAGAGAGGGUGGUUCCUGCUCAACCCCUGCAAGAAGUUCCUCCUACGCUCCGUUCUGCUGCUUCCAGUCUUGCCUCAGAAGCCCCCUGUUCCCAAAGUGCCUUUGGAACAGCCCCAUAAUCCGCAAACCCCUACAGAACCAGCAGGUGACCUGCAAGCAUCUCCUGCCGUCCCUCUUCCCUGCCUCUCCUGCGUUGGAUUUCGGACUGAGCCUCCUCUGGGCAGGAAACGGUCUAUUAUUCCUGUCAAGCCCCAGUUCCACUGACGGCAUUUCAUUAUUUUAUCUGCCUCCUCUUUUAUUAAUAUUGUUAAUCUUGUGCCUGCAGCUACCUGUUUCACAGUGGAAGAUGAUAUUUGCAUCUGCUGCAUAAUCCUCCAUUUGAAGUUUGAAUAUCUGCCUAAAUCCUCUUCCCCUUUUUUUCAAAGGGGGGGGGGCGGGGGAGGGAAAAUGCCUCCCCUAAUGCGAUAAUGCCUUGGAAAUGAAAAGUUGGCUUUGCAUAUUCAGGACGCAAUUCUGCAUUUCAUGUUCAUAAGCUCUGGAGACAUCUUCACUGAUUUCCAGGAGGGCCAGGAGUGACCAAAGUUUCUCAAAGACCCUUUUGCUCAUAGCAUUAAGAAACCAAUGACCAAGGUCAGUUCCGCUGGGAUUGCAGAAGGAUCCGGCAGGCCUGGGUUUGCCAGUUGGAGAACAGCCUUUACCAAAGGCGUCCUGGGCUUUGAAGACACUCGAACUCAGGACGCAAGGGUGAAACGUGCUAAGAGGAAGGCACACUUGGCAAAUCCACACAGUGAUCAACUCCUGCCUGGGAACCAAUGUCCCCACUGUGGCAGGACAUGUGGAUCCAGAAUUGGCCUCCACAGUCACUUACGGACUUGUUGUUAAAACCAUGUUUAUGGAAGACAAUCAUACUCGGCUACGAGUGAUUGCCAAAGAAGAAGAAGAUUAUUUCAGCCCAUAGGUGGGAGUUUGUGGCUGUGAUCCAGAAUGGUCUGGUCUUCAUGUAGCCUCUCUGGAUGUUCAUGAAGUUUCCUUCCUCAUUGCUGUCCAGUAAUGCUUUGCUGGACGCAGGUGGCGCUGUGGGUUAAACCACUGAGCCUAGGGCUUGCCGAUCAGAAGGUCGGCAGUUCGAAUCCCCGCGACGGGGGUGAGCUCCCGUUGCUUGGUCCCAGCUCCUGCCAACCUAGCAGUUCGAAAUCACGUCGAAGUGCAAGUAGAUAAAUAGGUACCACUACAGCGGGAAGGUAAACGGCGUUUCCGUGCGCUGCUCUGGUUCGCCAGAAGUGGCUUAGUCAUGCUGGCCACAUGACCUGGAAGCUGUACGCCGGCUCCCUCGGUCAAUAACGCGAGAUGAGCGCCGCAACCCCAGAGUCGUCCGUGACUGGACCUAAUGGUCAGGGGUCCCUUUACCUUUAAUGCUUUGCAUCAUGACAAGCACUAUGAACAGAAGAGGAUAAGGAGAGUCUGCUGGAUCAGGCCAGGCCAGUGGCCCGUCUAGUCCAGCAUCCUGUUUUCACAGUGGCUGAACAGUUGGGCAAGGGUCAUGCCCCAAAGCCCUCUCCUACCACUUGUUUCCAGCAAGUGGUAUUCAGAAGCACCCCUGCCUUCAACUGUGGAGGGCAGAGCAUAGCUGUGAUGGGUAGGAGCCAUCAGUUUGUCUAAUAAUCCUCUCUUGAACCCAUGCAGCUGAAUCUGCUCUCUUCUCUCCCAAAUGGACCUUUUGUUCUAUGCAAGGCAUAACAGAAGUCCUGUUCUUAAAGAAUCCAAUAUUAAAACAAGCAAGCAUCACUUGCUCCUGCUCCCCAGGAGUACUUGAAAGCUCAUUUUCCAAAGGUAAGAAUUUUUAUGGGGGUCGAAGGGUCCCUUUGUGUGAAGAAAUGCUUGUUUUUGUCUUCCUUGAGCCCUAGGCUGUGGCAUCUGCAGUGGUGAAAGUUGCCCAGGAUCUCAGACCGACAUGCUCCCCAGCCACCCUGAAGGUGUGCUGUCAUCAGGCAGGAGGUGGCCACCAGGAGGCAGCACUGAGGCUUCUGGGACUUGUGGCACAGCUCAUCUUGGUGUGGUGGCAAAAUCAAAUGCUGGAAGGGGAUUUUUU